GCUCCCCCCCCGCCGCACGGCCCCCCCGCGCGCUGCUCACGCUCCACUCGAAGCCCCCCACCGCGAUGCCCCCGGCCGCCCCCGUCCCCGCCAGCCCCACGAAGUGCCCGGAGCCCAGUAAUCCCAGUGCUCCCAGUGCUCCCAGUAUGACCGACUGGUGCCCCCCCAGUGCUCCCAGUGCUCCCAGUACGAGCGACUCACUGGUGCCCAGGCCAUGCUCCUCCCGGCCAGGAAGUACCCGCUGAUGGUGCUGCGGCUGCCGCGGCGCAGGGACUGCGGGCACCAGUACGGACCAGUAUGGACCAGUAUGGACCAGUACAGACCAGUAUAGACCAGUAUGGACCAGUACGGACCAGUACGGACCAGUACGGCACCAAUAUGGACCAGUACGGCACCAGUAUGGCGCCAGCGUGGACAAGUAUGGCACCAGUAUGGCACCAGUAUGGACCAGUACGGACCAGUACGGACCAGUAUGGACCAGUACAGACCAGUAUAGACCAGUAUGGACCAGUAUAGACCAGUACGGACCAGUACGGACCAGUACGGCACCAAUAUGGACCAGUACGGCACCAGUAUGGCGCCAGCGUGGACAAGUAUGGGACCAGUAUGGGACCAGUAUGGCACCAGUACGGACCAGUACGGACCAGUAUGGCACCAAUAUGGACCAGUACGACACCAGUGGGACCAGUACAAGGACACCAGGUGUCCCAGUAUGGACACACCAGUGCUCCCAGUGCUCCCAGGUCUUCUGAGGUCUCUUCUCCAUGUCUUCGUGGUCUUGGAGUCUCCAUCACCUUGGGUUUGAUGGUGGCUUGGUCAUGACCUUCACCUCUUACCCAAGGCCACCAUAGAGCAGCCAAUCAAAGCCUUGAAGCAUCUGGAGGUCCUCCAUGUCUUCUUGAGGGCCUCCAGGAGGUUUUUUGAGGGCCUUCAAAGGUCAACAGAUCCCAAAGCGUUUUGGGGGGAACGGUCGAGUGACCCUAUAGGGAUUUGGG